UCCACUAUUUAGUUGGUGAAGUACAAGGCUCUUAACCUUGUGGACGUGGGUUCAAGCCCCACGGUGGAG
rnacentral:tRNA from 1 species